GUUUUAGCGAGCGGUGAUGGCACUCCUGAUAGCGCCGCGGGCGCUUGUAGAACAGUUUUCGCGAGCUGCAGGAGUCCAUGGUGGGCUAAACCAGCUGGCCUUGGUUCUUGUGGUCUACGCAGUGCUCGGCCGUGCAGUGCGGGUUCUUAUGGACCGUAGCGGGAUGGUUGUGGUUAACCUGGAGGUACAAUGUACGUGCUCGCUGAUGCUUGUAGCAGCUCUCGCAGUUCUCGACAUGCAGGAUUUGAAACGAAGGGUUGGCGCCUCGUGGCCGC
rnacentral:RNase_MRP_RNA from 1 species